rnacentral:hammerhead_ribozyme from 1 species
GCACUGCUGAAGAGUCCCACAAUGUGAUGAAACGGCCUUCCAGUGCUUCCAGGUUUUCCAUGGUGGUCUAGCUUCAACUGAUUGAUGAUCNUAGACAUUAACAUUGUUGAAUGCCAGUAGGCUCAGUGGUAUAGAGGCCAAACGUUCACACGCGAGAUCGAUAUGUUCUGAGUUCGAAUUUCGCAGAGGGCGAGGUCGUGGAUGCCACAAUAGGACGAAACGGCCAUCCAGUGC